GUGGGGAAUAUUGGGCAAUGGGCGCAAGCCUGACCCAGCAACGCCGCGUGAAGGAAGAAGGCUUUCGGGUUGUAAACUUCUUUUACCAGGGACGAAAAAAAUGACGGUACCUGGAGAAUAAGCCACGGCUAACUACGUGCCAGCAGCCGCGGUAAUACGUAGGUGGCAAGCGUUGUCCGGAUUUACUGGGUGUAAAGGGCGCGUAGGCGGGAGAGCAAGUCAGGAGUGAAAUCUAUGGGCUUAACCCAUAAAUUGCUUUUGAAACUGUUUUUCUUGAGUGAUGGAGAGGCAAGCGGAAUUCCUAGUGUAGCGGUGAAAUGCGUAGAUAUUAGGAGGAACACCAGUGGCGAAGGCGACUUACUGGACUGUAACUGACGCUGAGGCGCGAAAGUGUGGGGAGCAAACAGGAUUAGAUACCCGAGUAGUCC
rnacentral:rRNA from 1 species